rnacentral:tRNA from 1 species
GGGGGUAUAACUCAGUUGGUAGAGUGCCUGCUUUGCAAGCAGGAUGCCUGCGGUUCGAGUCCGCAUAUCUCCACCA